UACGGAGGGUGCAAGCAUUAAUCGGAUUUACUGGGCGUAAAGGGCGCGUAGGCGGGCAAGCAAGUCUUAUGUGAAAUUCCGGAGCUCAACUCCGGAGCUGCAUGGGAAACUGCUUGUCUAUAGAGGGAUGGCGGAGAAAAUGGAAUUCCACGUGUAGCGGUGAAAUGCGUAGAUAUGUGGAAGAACACCAGUGGCGAAAGCGGUUUUCUAGCUAUUUCCUGACGCUGAGGCGCGAGAGCAUGGGGAGCAAACAGG
rnacentral:rRNA from 1 species